UGUGCCGCAAAGGAUAGAAAAUGGCAUAAAAUAGAUCGCCAAGGGAGGAAACCGUAACGACCAAAUGAAGAUUUUAAAGGCAAUUAUUGUAUUGGCUCUUUCUAUUGUAGCGACACGAUGUCACAAGGAAGUGAAUAUUUCCAGUUUGUCUGACCUUGCUAAGUUCCAAGACCCAUGGAAGAUUAUCAACAAUACAAUGGAUGUUUACCUCGCACGCGUCUCGGGUGUUCCCAUGGAAAGAGCAAAACAUUUUCACUGCGUGCGCUCCUCAUACCAAGGAUAUGAACCCCAAAAUCAAACCGUAUAUCGUUCUGUCAAAUUCGAGUACAGCAACGACAGCGAAACUUGGAACAGGUAAUAUGCACGGAGUUUGGGGCUGUCGCUUUUCAAAACAAUGCCAUUUGAGUUUUGCUGAAUGCAACAGUUAUUUUUUCCCUCUGAGA